rnacentral:rRNA from 1 species
UACGUAGGUGGCAAGCGUUGUCCGGAAUUAUUGGGCGUAAAGCGCGUGUAGGCGGCUUUGCAAGUCGGGUGUGAAAGCCCUCAGCUCAACUGAGGAAGUGCGCCCGAAACUGCAGAGCUUGAGUGCCGGAGAGGGUGGCGGAAUUCCCCAAGUAGAGGUGAAAUUCGUAGAUAUGGGGAGGAACACCGGUGGCGAAGGCGGCCACCUGGACGGUAACUGACGCUGAGACGCGAAAGCGUGGGGAGCAAACAGG